UACGAAGGGGGCUAGCGUUGCUCGGAAUUACUGGGCGUAAAGCGCACGUAGGCGGCUUUCUAAGUCGGGGGUGAAAUCCUGGAGCUCAACUCCAGAACUGCCUUCGAUACUGGAGAGCUUGAGUCCGGGAGAGGUGAGUGGAACUGCGAGUGUAGAGGUGAAAUUCGUAGAUAUUCGCAAGAACACCAGUGGCGAAGGCGGCCACCUCGGGCCG
rnacentral:rRNA from 1 species